GACGAACGCUGGCGGCGUGCUUAACACAUGCAAGUCGUACGGUAAGGCCCUUUCGGGGGUACACGAGUGGCGAACGGGCGAGUAACACGUGAGUAACCCGCCCACAACUUUGGGAUAACGCUAGGAAACUGGUGCUAAUACUGGAAAUGUGCUCCUGCUGCAUGGUGGGGGCUGGAAAGCUCCGGCGGUUGUGGAUGGACUCGCGGCCUAUCAGCUUGUUGGUGGGGUAGUGGCCUACCAAGGCGGCCACCGGUAGCCGGCCUGCGAGGGUGACCGGCCAUCUUGAGAUUGAGAUACGGCCCGGCCUCCUACUGGACGCCGCCGUGGAGAAUAAUGCACAAUCGGCGCAAGCCUGAUCCAGCACCGCCGCGUGCUGGAUGACGGCCUUCGGGUUGUAAGCCGCUUUCAGCAGGGUCGAAGCUUUUUGUGACGGUACCUGCAGAAGAAGCACCGGCUAACUCCGUG
rnacentral:rRNA from 1 species